rnacentral:rRNA from 1 species
AUUGAACGCUGGCGGCAUGCCUAAUACAUGCAAGUCGACCUUAGUGGCGAACGGGUGAGUAACACUUGGGUAACCUGCCCAUCAGAAGGGGAUAACAAUUUGAAACAGGUGCUAAUACCGUAUACUGAUGGAUGUACCCGCGUGGAAUUGGCUAGGUGGUGAGGUAACGGCUCACCAAGGCCACGAUGCAUAGCCGAUCUGAGAGGGUGAUCGGCCACAUUGUGACUGAGACACGGCCCAAACUCCUACGGGAGGCAGCAGUAGUGAAUCUUCGGCAAUGGACGAAAGUCUGACCGAGCAACGCCGCGUGAGGGAAGAAGGUUUUCGGAUCGUAAAACUCUGUUGUUAGAGAAGCGGUAUCUAACCAGAAAGCCACGGCUAACUACGUGCCAGCAGCCGCGGUAAUAC